AACGAACGCUGGCGGCAGGCCUAACACAUGCAAGUCGAGCGAGGACUUCGGUCCUAGCGGCGGACGGGUGAGUAACGCGUGGGAACGUUCCCUUUGCUUCGGAAUAGCCCUGGGAAACUGGGCGUAAUACCGGAUGAGCCCUUUGGGGGAAAGAUUUAUCGGCGAAGGAUCGGCCCGCGUUGGAUUAGGUAGUUGGUGGGGUAAUGGCCUACCAAGCCGACGAUCCAUAGCUGGUUUGAGAGGAUGAUCAGCCACACUGGGAAUGAGACACGGCCCAGACUCCUACGGGAGGCAGCAGUGGGGAAUCUUAGACAAUGGGGGAAACCCUGAUCUAGCCAUGCCGCGUGAGCGAUGAAGGCCUUAGGGUUGUAAAGCUCUUUCAGCUGGGAAGAUAAUGACGGUACCAGCAGAAGAAGCCCCGGCUAACUCCGUG
rnacentral:rRNA from 1 species